rnacentral:rRNA from 1 species
UACGGGGGGGGCAAGCGUUGUUCGGAAUUACUGGGCGUAAAGGGCUCGUAGGCGGCCAACUAAGUCAGACGUGAAAUCCCUCGGCUUAACCGGGGAACUGCGUCUGAUACUGGAUGGCUUGAGUUCGGGAGAGGGAUGCGAAAUUCCAGGUGUAGCGGUGAAAUGCGUAGAUAUCUGGAGGAACACCGGUGGCGAAGGCGGCAUCCUGGACCGACACUGACACUGAGGAGCGAAAGCCAGGGGAGCAAACAGG